rnacentral:rRNA from 1 species
UUAAGGUUAGAAAGGGCGCACGGUGAUGCCUUGGCACUAGGAGCCGAUGAAGGACGGGACGGGGAACACCGAUAUGCUUCGGGGAGCUGUAAGCAAGCUUUGAUCCGGAGAUUUCCGAAUGGGGAAACCCACCACUCGUAAUGGAGUGGUAUCCAUAUCUGAAUACAUAGGAUAUGAGAAGGCAGACCCGGGGAACUGAAACAUCUAAGUACCCGGAGGAAGAGAAAGCAAAUGCGAUUCCCUGAGUAGCGGCGAGCGAAACGGGACCAGCCCAAACCAAGAGGCUUGCCUCUUGGGGUUGUAGGACACUCUGUACGGAGUUACAAAGGAACGAGGUAGAUGAAGAGGUCUGGAAAGGCCCGCCAUAGGAGGUAACAGCCCUGUAGUCAAAACUUCGUUCUCUCCUGAGUGGAUCCUGAGUACGGCGGAACACGUGAAAUUCCGUCGGAAUCCGGGAGGACCAUCUCCCAAGGCUAAAUACUCCCUAGUGACCGAUAGUGAACCAGUACCGUGAGGGAAAGGUGAAAAGCACCCCGGAAGGGGAGUGAAAGAGAUCCUGAAACCGUGUGCCUACAAGUAGUCAGAGCCCGUUAACGGGUGAUGGCGUGCCUUUUGUAGAAUGAACCGGCGAGUUACGAUCCCGUGCAAGGUUAAGCAGAAGAUGCGGAGCCGCAGCGAAAGCGAGUCUGAAUAGGGCGAAUUGAGUACGUGGUCGUAGACCCGAAACCAGGUGAUCUACCCAUGUCCAGGGUGAAGUUCAGGUAACACUGAAUGGAGGCCCGAACCCACGCACGUUGAAAAGUGCGGGGAUGAGGUGUGGGUAGGGGUGAAAUGCCAAUCGAACCUGGAGAUAGCUGGUUCUCUCCGAAAUAGCUUUAGGGCUAGCCUCAAGGUAAGAGUCUCGGAGGUAGAGCACUGAUUGGACUAGGGGCCCCUACCGGGUUACCGAAUUCAGUCAAACUCCGAAUGCCGAUGACUUAUCCUUGGGAGUCAGACUGCGAGUGAUAAGAUCCGUAGUCGAAAGGGAAACAGCCCAGACCGCCAGCUAAGGUCCCAAAGUAUACGUUAAGUGGAAAAGGAUGUGGAGUUGCUUAGACAACCAGGAUGUUGGCUUAGAAGCAGCCACCAUUUAAAGAGUGCGUAAUAGCUCACUGGUCGAGUGACUCUGCGCCGAAAAUGUACCGGGGCUAAACGUAUCACCGAAGCUGCGGACUGUUCUUCGAACAGUGGUAGGAGAGCGUUCUAAGGGCUGUGAAGCAAGACCGGAAGGACUUGUGGAGCGCUUAGAAGUGAGAAUGCCGGUAUGAGUAGCGAAAGAGGGGUGAGAAUCCCCUCCACCGAAUGCCUAAGGUUUCCUGAGGAAGGCUCGUCCGCUCAGGGUUAGUCGGGACCUAAGCCGAGGCCGAAAGGCGUAGGCGAUGGAUAACAGGUUGAUAUUCCUGUACCACCUCCUCACCAUUUGAGCAAUGGGGGGACGCAGGAGGAUAGGGUAAGCGCGGUAUUGGAUAUCCGCGUCCAAGCAGUUAGGCUGGGGAAAUAGGCAAAUCCGUUUCCCGUGAAGGCUGAGCUGUGAUGGCGAGCGAAUUAUAGUAGCGAAGUUCCUGAUUCCACACUGCCAAGAAAAGCCUCUAGCGAGGUGAGAGGUGCCCGUACCGCAAACCGACACAGGUAGGCGAGGAGAGAAUCCUAAGGUGAUCGAGAGAACUCUCGUUAAGGAACUCGGCAAAAUGACCCCGUAACUUCGGGAGAAGGGGUGCUCUGUUAGGGUGCAAGCCCGAGAGAGCCGCAGUGAAUAGGCCCAGGCGACUGUUUAGCAAAAACACAGGUCUCUGCGAAGCCGUAAGGCGAAGUAUAGGGGCUGACGCCUGCCCGGUGCUGGAAGGUUAAGAGGAGCGCUUAGCGUAAGCGAAGGUGCGAAUUGAAGCCCCAGUAAACGGCGGCCGUAACUAUAACGGUCCUAAGGUAGCGAAAUUCCUUGUCGGGUAAGUUCCGACCCGCACGAAAGGCGCAACGAUCUGGGCACUGUCUCAACGAGAGACUCGGUGAAAUUAUAGUACCUGUGAAGAUGCAGGUUACCCGCGACAGGACGGAAAGACCCCGUGGAGCUUUACUGCAGCCUGAUAUUGAAUGUUGGUACAGCUUGUACAGGAUAGGUAGGAGCCUUGGAAACCGGAGCGCCAGCUUCGGUGGAGGCAUCGGUGGGAUACUACCCUGGCUGUAUUGACCUUCUAACCCGCCGCCCUUAUCGGGCGGGGAGACAGUGUCAGGUGGGCAGUUUGACUGGGGCGGUCGCCUCCUAAAAGGUAACGGAGGCGCCCAAAGGUUCCCUCAGAAUGGUUGGAAAUCAUUCGCAGAGUGUAAAGGCACAAGGGAGCUUGACUGCGAGACCUACAAGUCGAGCAGGGACGAAAGUCGGGCUUAGUGAUCCGGUGGUUCCGCAUGGAAGGGCCAUCGCUCAACGGAUAAAAGCUACCCCGGGGAUAACAGGCUUAUCUCCCCCAAGAGUCCACAUCGACGGGGAGGUUUGGCACCUCGAUGUCGGCUCAUCGCAUCCUGGGGCUGUAGUCGGUCCCAAGGGUUGGGCUGUUCGCCCAUUAAAGCGGUACGCGAGCUGGGUUCAGAACGUCGUGAGACAGUUCGGUCCCUAUCCGUCGCGGGCGCAGGAAAUUUGAGAGGAGCUGUCCUUAGUACGAGAGGACCGGGAUGGACGCACCGCUGGUGUACCAGUUGUUCUGCCAAGGGCAUCGCUGGGUAGCUAUGUGCGGACGGGAUAAGUGCUGAAAGCAUCUAAGCAUGAAGCCCCCCUCAAGAUGAGAUUUCCCAUUCCGCAAGGAAGUAAGAUCCCUGAAAGAUGAUCAGGUUGAUAGGUCUGAGGUGGAAGUGUGGCGACACAUGGAGCUGACAGAUACUAAUCGAUCGAGGACUUAACCAAUUU